UACGUAGGGCGCAAGCGUUAUCCGGAAUUAUUGGGCGUAAAGAGCUCGUAGGCGGUUUGUCGCGUCUGCCGUGAAAGUCCGGGGCUCAACUCCGGAUCUGCGGUGGGUACGGGCAGACUAGAGUGCAGUAGGGGGAGACUGGAAUUCCUGGUGUAGCGGUGAAAUGCGCAGAUAUCAGGAGGAACACCGAUGGCGAAGGCAGGUCUCCGGGCUGUAACUGACGCUGAGGAGCGAAAGCAUGGGGAGCGAACAGG
rnacentral:rRNA from 1 species